rnacentral:lncRNA from 1 species
GCUGAUGCUAGAGAAAGUGAACUAGAAGACUUUUCUUCUAAAGGAAUCUCAUGCAAGAAGACAGUAAUAGCUGUGGCACCAAGAGCAAAACAGUAAGCCAUCUCCUGCAUUUUUGUCUUCCCCAUUUUCAACAAGUACGGAUAGCUUCCGUUACUUCCUCUAAGUCUGAUGAGUUUCAAAGUGUGGACAGUGACUAAUUGCAAGGGAGACUUUUGGUAGCUAUAAGGACAUUACUGAAGCACAUUACUAAUCACCUGCACCAAAACACAGCAAGGAGUAAGGAAGUGAUGGUUAAAGGAUCACCCCAGCUGAAACAGCACAGAGGACUUUAUGCGUGGCCAGCCCUUGAGUGCUGUGUGGUGGGAACAGACUGAAUCAUGCCCAGAACACCAGAGCAUGAGUAAGAAAGCCUUCCAUCCCUGGAAGCUUGGUCAUCAGCUCCUGUUCCCAGUCUUGCUCCCCUGAGUCGUUCUCUGCGUGACUUCCUCUGUACUCAUCCUCUGCCCAAACAGGCAAUCUUAUCC